AAUCUGUACAACCUCAUCACCAUGUGUAUAAUUGUGACAGAACACUAGGGGUAUCUCCAAAGAGAGCAAUGCUAGCAGGAGCCUUGCCCACUGACCCAUCCGAAACAUUUUAGAGCUUUGUCCUUUUGAACCUAUAGCAUUGGACCCUUAUUUUUAUAUUCUGUAUAGUGGGGGUGGUGGAGGGUAUUAAUGGAUAAGCAGGAAAGGUUUCAAUGUAGCUGCUAUGUCUCUGAACUUUUGAGAUCUUAUGGCUUUAAUCUACAAGCAAAGAUGGUUCCUUCUAAUCAUGCUGUCAUAAGAAACUUUGUGGAUGAAAAGAUAAACAAAAAACCAGAGAAAGGAGUGAUCCAAUACAUCCAGAGCUGGAAGAUUACUCAGUGCAACUUUCUAGUCUUGGGAGGGAAGGUGUGGAAGGUGCAAAUGCCAAGGUUGGAAGAUCCCUGGGUUACAAGAUUGCCUUCGAAAGAGCAUUCUGGGAGCCUUCUUCAGAACAGCUUCAAAGGCCAUGUGUAAUAAUGAUGUGAAACAUUUAACAAUAAAUUCAACUAUGCCCCAAAAGUUAUUAAACUGUGCAUACCCUUUGAUCCAG